GUAAUCACUUGUCCCCUAAAUAGAGACCAGUAUGAACGGCUAAAUGAAAACAAACCUGUCUCCUGAGACCAAUCAGUGAAACUGAUCUCCCAGUCCAAAAGCUGGGAUCAAAACAUAAGACGAGAAGACCCUGUGGAGCUUAAAGUCCCACACUAAUCUACACAAUAAACGAACUAGUGUAAGACUUUAAGUUGGGGCGACUUCGGAACAAAGCAAAACUUCCGAGCACAGAACCACCCGCUUCUAACCAAGGCCAACAGGCCGAAGCACAACUUGACCCAGUCAUACUGACCAACGAACCAAGUUACCCCAGGGAUAACAGCGCUAUCUUCUUCAAGAGUCCCUAUCGACAAGAAGGUUUACGACCUCGAUGUUGGAUCAGGACACCCAAAUGGUGCAGCCGCUAUUAAAGGUUCGUUUGUUCAACGAUUAAUAGU
rnacentral:rRNA from 1 species